AGAGCCUGUGCCUCUGAACUGUGAACUUCACAAGUGUGUGUCUCAGUGUUUUCCCCCCAGGUGGGACAGAAUGGCUAGAGGGAGAUGGAGUUAGCUACUUCCCUUCCCUCACAUGGAAGGCUAAAAGGGAUUGGGAUUGGGUAUUUCCUUUCUCCCAAGUGGAAAGCUAGAAUGGGCUAGACUUGGGUAUUUCCCUUCUGAUAAAAUCUCAGUAGUUUAGGCUCUGUAAAGUAGUUUCUCUUAUGGGCAGGACUUGUUAAGAAAAAAUGCUCUUACGUAUUUCAAAAUGAUUUCUUUUCUCCUCCUCCUUCCAGAAACCCAAGCGAAUUUUCCUCUGAUAUUCACUGUAAGAACCAGGUCAAGCUCCUGGAGAUAAAACUCACAAAAUUGUGGGGACCUGCUGAUGACUGGGUCCCCCUGGAGUUUUUAACUCUCAGGCUUCUGCACACUGAGCCUCCAGCAAUUUGUCAAUUACAGUUCAGGUUUUCAUAUCCCAGCACCGGUUCUCAUGAAGGUUUCUGCUCCAAAAGAAGCAAGAGGGCUUCCCUGGUGGCGCAGUGGUUGAGAAUCUGCCUGCUAAUGCAGGGGACACGGGUUAGAGCCCUGGUCUGGGAAGAUCCCACAUGCCAAGGAGCAGCUGGGCCCGUGAGCCACAACUACUGAGCCUGCGCAUCUGGAGCUUGUGCUCCGCAACAAGAGAGGCCGCGAUAGUGAGAGGCCCGCGCACCGCGAUGAAGAGUGGCCCCCGCUUGCCGCAACUGGAGAAAGCCCUUGCACAGAAACGAAGACCCAACACAGCCAAAAAUAAAUAAAUAAAUAAAUAAAUAAUGAAAAUAAAGGAAUUCCUUUAAAAAAAAAAAAAGAAAGAAG